ACAAUUCAACCAUUUAUAGAGGCCCCUGGAUGUCUGUAAGGGCCCCUGGAUGUCUGGAGGCCCCUGAAUGUCUGGAGGGCCCCUGAAUGUCUGGAGGGCCCCUGGAUGUCUGGAGGGCCUCUGAAUGUCUGGAGGCCCCUGGAUGUCUGGAGGCCCCUGAAUUUUCUUUGCCUUGAUAUCUCAGUCUUAUAAUUCUAGAUCUAGAGUUUCUAACAUAGAAAACUGAUGUAGAAUGAACCUCUGAGCUUUUGGUCUUUAAUUCAGUCUGCAGCCAAGUUGUUCUAGAGGUUAAAGAUAUUAUCAGGGUUUAUUUAGUAAAAUAUCAUCAAAUGUUUUUAUUCCAUAACUUCAUGACCUUUGACCUUCUCUCCUCUGGUCUGUCUAACAGCUUCAGUCUCAGAUCAGCAGCAGAAACAUUAAAUCAGAGAAACAUGGACUAGAUUAGCUCUGCAUUGUCCACAUGAUGAUGCAGUUUGAUCUGAUUAAAUAUUAGAUUAUUGAUUAAUAUGGUUGUUGCUCUGUUGUUGUUCAAUGGGCCCCUUUUUAACUCUGAGCCCUCCAAAGGUCUCUGCACGGCCCUGAGGUUGGUCGUCUUCGUUCUCCUGUUCUGGGUCGGACUCUGGCUCCAACAUGGAAGGAUUGUUGACAUCUUUAAUAAACUCUGGAAUAAGAAGUUUCUCUGCCAAUAGAUAGUCAUAUCGCUGCUAUCAAACUACAAAAAUGGCCGAACAGGGUGGAGCGGAACGCUGUGCGACUUGGAGGGGGCGUGAAAUGUCUCAUUCACAUUAAAAAGACAGCAGCAAAACAAGUUUCUCUAAAACGCCUCAGAACAGGAGAAUGAGGGUCUGGAGCCACCAAAGCAUUGCUGUUCUGGUCACAUAAUGCAGUUUGAAGGAUGAGGAUUUAGGCAGUGAGGCCCAGAGAAAAUAAGUUUAACACAGUCCAAGUCCCAAACUGUACACAGAGCCCAGAACCACAGGUCACACAGACCGGCACCCCGUAACAGAAACAAGGACUGGGAACGACAAGGUAAGACUAAAUACACAACAAGGGACAACAAGGGGCAGGUGGGACCAAUCAGGGACGAGACACGACAAGACAGAGAAUAAAUUACCUAAUGACCACAGACAAACCCUCAUCCAUAAAAGAAUGAUUUACAUGAGAAAAGGAAGAACUUAAAAGAAUAAUAUGUUUACUUUAACUAGGCCAGUAUCCUGGUAAGCAGUACCGUCAUUUCUAGAUUUGAUCCUUAGAGUAUUGUGUCCUUUUUCCAACAUUCAGUGCAUUCAGGGAUUUUUCCUGUGUUUGUAAUAGAUGAUACGUGUUUCUCAUUAAUAUGCUCCGGCAACACAAAUACAUUCAAUAUAUAACAUGAGAAAAAAUGUUGUUACAGGUGAAAUAACCUGUCAGUAAAAGCAGUUCUUUGUCUUAAUUAUUCUUGAAUAUUAACAAUUCCUGAAUAUCUACCAUUAGGGGGCGCCUCUCUCCUUCCAAUGGCAUCUUCAAUCUCUUCUCUAACAUCGGCCUUCUUCAUCACAUUCGGGGGUCUUCUACAUAGUCUUCCUCUUUGUCUGAGAUGUGAAAAUGUUUCAUUUUUUGUUUGUUUGUUUCUGCAGCCCCUCCUCUCUCUGCCCCCUCUCUGCAGCAGACGGACCAGCAGCAGGAAGUAGGCGGCUCAGCCAGCCGUUCUCAGCUUCAGUGAAACAUCGUCAGGUCAGAUCACUGAGAAGAACAAUGGAAGGAACAUCUCACUGUCUGAUCUUUCUGAUCUUCUUGCUGAGCUGCUCAGCAGAUCCAGUCUCUCCAGCUGCUCUGACUGUGAGUCCCAGCAGAUCUCAGUUCUUUGAAAGAGAAAAAGUUUCUCUGAGCUGCUCUGAUGGAGGAACUGUGAGGAGAAACACAAGCAGAGAGACCAGGACUGAGUGUCAGAAAGGUGGAUGGGGGAGAUCAGCUGGUUCUACCUGUGAAAUCACCUUGUUCCCAUCAGACUCUGGCCUGUACUGGUGUGAGUCCAUGUCUGGAUCCUCCAGCAGCAGCAGCAGCAUCCAGCUCUCUGUCUCUGUUGGUAAGAUCAGCGGUCAGGGAGAGUCUCCAUCCAGCAGGAUCUCUGUGGAAGUCUCAUCUCUUCAUGCUCCUGACUCCACCAUGUGUGAUUUUUGGGUUUUACUCCCUGAUUCUGGUUCUGCUGAUUCAACUGUUGAGAAAUGAACAGAGAAAACCUGAAGUGACUGACUCUGUGAAGAUAAAAGAUGUUGGUUUUCCACAGACAGAAUCAGAACCAGAGGAUGGAGAUGAUGAGUCCGUUGGUGGUGAAUCCUGAAGGUUUCUCUCCCCAACAUCAGAUCUUCACCCAGCGAGCCUGAAAGACGAUGCUGAGGGAAAAGAUGCUGAGGAAUAACUGAUGAGCUGCAGAAGCUGAGGCUCAGAUGUGGAUCCACAAACAUCCUGCUGUUCAUUGUCUUUAACAUGGCGAAACGUUAUAUACUCAGAUUUAUAUGUUUAAAGUGUUAAUAUAAAAAAAAUUAAGUUGAUUUUUUUUACGUGGAAAAUAUGUUAGACAUAAACAAAGUCUUUGUUUUUGAGUGUUUGAGUUUUUAUGUUUAAGAAUACAAAGAACAUUUUUUAUUCUCUGAAAUGUAUGAAGAAAAUGAAAAUACACCAAAGGUUUGAACAUCUCAGGUACAUAAAUGAAAGUUUUCACUUUUAAUAGUUUUGCUUUGUUUUUUUAACCAAAUUAUACUUUCAUGACUUUAAUUAGAAAAAUAAAAUGAAACUAAAACUCCUUUCAGAUGUUCAGCUUUGUGUCUUUGUGAUCUUUAUAUUGAAUAAACUCAACAUGAAUUUUGA